ACUCCACCAGCCGGCCCCGCGGGACGGUUACUCUGUUCCUGAGGUACCCCCCGAGAUUGUCUGUGGGGUCAGAAACAGCUCUGGAGGGGUCUGCAGAAAUUACUUUCCCAAGUCUUUGGGCUGGAAGGAACGAACAGUGCCUGACCAAGGACUUUGAGCAGGAGAGAGAUGGGAGCAGAGAGGAGCCAAGACCGUCUUGGACUACCAGCCUGUCCGCCACCCCUCGGGGCCCUCCCUCCUACUCUGCCCUUGCCCGCUGAGGUCCCAAGCUGAGGAGAUGAGCCGAGCAGUAAAAAGAGAGGAGGUUUGGAAAAGCAAUGUCCUCUCAGUCUUUAAUAGGUGGCCCCCCUGGGAACCUGCUGGAAGUGGAAGUUAAUAAGCUGAAGGUGGUCACAACCAAUCUCUGCCACACUCGCACCCUACCCCACCCCAAAUCAUUCCUUUUAAUUAAUAGUGGAAGACCUUUUUAAAAAUGUAACAUGAAUUGGCUAUUUCUUGAGGCAAACAAAAGGUGGCUCUGAAGCGAUAUAUUUGUACUCGUAUAAAUUCAUUAAAAUAGAAAGCUUAUAACCAUCCAGGUUUCACUGACAGCCCCAGUCCAUCUACAUGCAGAAAUGGUCCCUCCAAAGCCCUCUACGACAAUUAUUCUCACAGAUCGUCAUGAUAAACUGUAAGGGAAUAUACUAAGAAAGAGGGAAGAAGAGAGGAGGAGUCCAUUUUUAAUUAGUGGUUGGAAAUAGAGUAAAAAUUAGAGGGCCUUAGGUUUAAAACACAGAUGUGCAUUGUGAUCGUCUGAAGGAAGAGCUGUUGACAGAGAAAACAAGGUGGUGAACUAUGCCCUUGGCCUGUGACAGUUAGGUGAGGGUUGCUCACCGCAGAAGACAGACCGGUAGAGCCCAGCAGGAAAGAGGGUAUCAGGCUGGAAGAAGUGCAGUUUGGCCCUGGCGGAGUGGUGGAGUGGCUGGAGCGACUGCAGGAGGAGGAUAGAUCUGGAAGCAGGUCUGGGCUAUACUUUGGCCUCAGCCAGGGAGCCAGAGAAGGAAGGCUUGGGUUCGAGGGGGGAAAUCAUUCUCCCAAAUUGCUUUCUCAGAAGCGCCAAUUCAGAUCACCUGAAGACAGGGUCUGGGCCCCAUUACAGCAUGGUUCCCAAAUGGGAGUGUGCUUGGAAGCCUUGGUGAUUAAAGGGUGCUGACUAAAAGAGUCAAACUCUGUAAAAUAUUUGAAGAGAUUUAUUCUGAGCCAAAUAUGAGUGACCAUGGCCCAUGACACAGCCCUCAGGAGACCCUGAGAACAUGUGUUCAAGGUGGUCGGGGUACAGCUUGGUUUUAUAUGUUUUAGGAAGGCAUGAGACUCAAUCAAAGACAUUUUAAAAAUACAUUGGUUUGGUUCAGAAAGGUGAGACAACUCAAAGUGGGGGCUUCCAGGCUAUAGGUAAAUUUAAACAUUUUCUGACUGACAAUUGGUUGGGUUUAUCUGGAGACCUGGGAUUAAUGGAAAGGAAGGUUCAUGUUAAGAUACAGAACUGUGGGGACCAAGUUUUAUUGUGCAGAGGAAUCUCUCAGAUAGCAGACUUCAGAGAGAGAGAGAGCAGGUUGUAAAAUGUUUCUUAUCGGACCUAAAAGGGUACCUGGCUCUUAGUUGAUUAUCUCCUGGAUCUGGGAAGGAAGGAAGGAAAACAAAGGGGAAAGGAAAUAUUUCCUAUAGAAUAUGGAUUUUUCCCACAAGAGACUUUGCAGGACAAUUUCGAGAUAUGGCAAGGAGAUUUAUUUUGGGGUAAAACAUUUUGAUUUUCUUCCUUGUUAUGCCACAGUCAGAUUGGAAAGUCAGUCAUGAUAUACAGGGUCAGAUAAAAUCCGUCUGAUGAGAAUGUAUGGUUGGUAGGGCAUGACUCCCCAGACCCCUUAGAUAGGAAUCUGGGCAAGAUAAAAAAUCGGAGCUUAGUCCUCAAGGGAAGGGGCAGCAGCGCUGUUGGCGGGCUCACCAAGCAUCAGUACUGGAUCACCAGGCUUGGGAGAGUAGGGGUGUCAAGGCCCCAAGAGCAGGGAGGGCCUUGGCCCCACUAGGGGGGC
rnacentral:lncRNA from 1 species